GGGUCGAGCUUGUCUUUCUUCACGGCCCCUUUUCUCUUCCACUUUCUUCCUAUCUCUGUCUCUGUCUCUCCACCGAACGAUGCUAACCCCUUUUAAGAGUCAAACUGCCCAGAUGUGUUUAGAGUGUUUAAUUUUUCUGGCCCCCCGACUGGUCAACAGGCAUGAUGAACAAAUGUUUGCUGAACUCCACUGAAGGAUUCAGUGAUUUUUUUUUCUUUUAAUAUUUUUAUUUACAAAAGUAACAUGAUCUUCCAAACAAUAAAGCCGAGUAUGGAGAAAAGAAGCGAAACGGACCUUCUGCACCUCCCACUUUUCUCCCGUUACAUUGUUAACAGACCUUUGGAGAUUUACUAAGAGAACAGGGAGAGGACUUCUACAUGGGCACUCAGUAGGGCUGUAUUAAGGACACCUGGAUCAAGUCCCAUUUUUGGCGUUUCCUGGAUGUGUGAUCACAGGAAACAAAACAACAAUGACCUGAGUGCCUGGCCUGUCCUCUUAGCCCAGCCUAACUCCCCUUUCACUUGUCGACAGUGCUGCAACUCACUCCUCACCGUGAUGGAAUGUCUUUGUUGAAGCUCAAAGAGGUUAUUCUAUAAGUUUUUCCCAUUCACACCUUCCUUUGGACUAGAAAAAAACCCCAGAAAUCCUGCUGAUGCCAACAAAAUACCAGUUUAAGCAGAAUAAGAGUUAUGCCACUAAAUGCAUGACAUCAUAAAAUUUGCUUUAUAGAAUUAAAAAUAAAGUUAAUUUACAGAGAUAAAGUAUCCACAGAUAGUUGAGAAAUGACUGUAUCAAAAAGUAUACAUCGCAAAUUGUUUUUGUAAAGGAAAUAUUAAAAAUGUGUUCUUAGAAUGAA